rnacentral:siRNA from 1 species
UCUUUCCUUAGAGCAAAGUUCUC